GACGGAGGAUGCAAGUGUUAUCCGGAAUCACUGGGCGUAAAGCGUCUGUAGGUGGUUUAAUAAGUCAACUGUUAAAUCUUGAGGCUCAACCUCAAAAUCGCAGUCGAAACUAUUAGGCUAGAGUAUAGUAGGGGUAAAGGGAAUUUCCAGUGGAGCGGUGAAAUGCGUAGAGAUCGGAAAGAACACCAACGGCGAAGGCACUCUGCUGGGCCGACACUGACACUGAGAGACGAAAGCUAGGGGAGCGAAUGGG
rnacentral:rRNA from 1 species